CAAACAGUCUCUCUCUCUCUCUCUCGAAAUGAGAUUCCAUUCGACUUGCAAAACCUCGAAACAGUGCCACCACAUCUGAAGACGACGACGAAGAAGAUCAAAUCGGAUUUUGCUCUCUCUCUCUCUCUCUCCCCGACGAGCUCGUUCGCUUCUCGCCGCCGAAUAACCUCUCUGACGUCGGAAACUCUCCCUUGGCGACAAGUGACUAUUGUGCAGUGAAGCUCAGCACUGGCUAGACGAUGUCGACUGAGAGAGAAGCCUUGUUGCAGAUUGGAGCGAAAUGAGACGGCAUCGUUUCACCAUCUCCUCAUCUUUCUUCCGCGUUUUCUCCGAUCUCGACGCCAAUUCAAAGCAGAUCUGAUCGGAGCGAAACAAGACGGCAUCGUUUCACCAUCUCCUCAUCUUUCUUCAGCGUUUUCUCAGAUCUCGACGCCGAUUCAAAGCAGAUCUGACAGGACCUUUACCAUUGUUCAAUCAAUACAUGUAGCUGGCCAAAAUUCACCCCUGCAGGAUUUGUGCAUGGACUUGUUCGGCGGCUGUGGAAGUUAGUAUGACUGUUAUGACUAUAAUUCUUCCCAUUUGCAUUUGCAGUAUAGCAUAUUCCAAAAAUCAUGUGAAUUUGGGUAGUGAAGCCUCCAUUGAACAAGAUAUCAUGUGGCAUUGUGGCCAACCAAAAAAUGUUGAAAUGUAGUCCGAUGCUAAAGGUGGCAAAAUAAUGCCUAUGGCCGGUUAGUGUAGUGUGGUAGAGCGUGACAAAAAGAAACAUCAACGGUGGUCAUCUUAAAAAUGACAGUAGCAUUACAACAUUGACAGCAGCUUUAUACAACUAUUGUAUUAGAUUUUCACAACUAUGGUAGUGACUUUUUACAA